UGGGGAAUCUUGCACAAUGGGCGAAAGCCUGAUGCAGCAACGCCGCGUGCGGGAAGACAGCCCUAGGGUUGUAAACCGCUUUCAGCAGGGAAGAAACUGACGGUACCUGCAGAAGAAGAUGCGGCCAACUACGUGCCAGCAGCCGCGGUGACACGUAGGCAUCAAGCGUUAUCCGGAUUUAUUGGGCGUAAAGAGCUCGUAGGCGGUUCGGUAAGUCGGGUGUGAAAACUCUGGGCUCAACCCAGAGAGGCCACUCGAUACUGCUGUGACUAGAGUGCGGUAGGGGAGCGGGGAAUUCCUGGUGUAGCGGUGAAAUGCGCAGAUAUCAGGAGGAACACCAGUGGCGAAGGCGCCGCUCUGGGCCGUAACUGACGCUGAGGUGCGAAA
rnacentral:rRNA from 1 species